GUAGUGGGUGCGGGUUCGGGUAAACCCAGUGACUUUUUUCGAAACCCUGUAUUUGUAUUGAAAUAUUUACUACAUCUAUAUAAAUAUAUCAUGCUGAACCCAGUAACAAAAGAGAUAUGUGUUCAAUGCUAAGGGCUGAGGGUUCUUUGGAAAAAGAUAUGGGUUCGAUUCCCCACUAAAGCAGUGUUUUUUUGUUUCGUUUCUUUAAUACAUUUUUUCACUACGACAUCCCUGUUAUUUGAAGACAAACUUUUUCUCCCAAUUCCCAAAUAAAAAAAAAACUAGGGUUCUGCUGGGUUUUCUUCCAAUUCCCAAAUCAAAGAAAAAGUUAGGGUUCUGCUGGUUUUCAAAACAUGACAACUCGUCGAGUGCAAUUGAAAUGAUAAUGUUUAUAUUUAUAUAUUGUGUUUGUCUUUAGUUACUUUUUAACUAUAUAUUAAAUAUCGAUACUUAUUCUUUAGUCGGUUUGAUAUUUUAUAUCAGUUUUAGGUUAUAAUCUUAUUCUAUAUUUUAGAACCCACACACUCCAGCUCCGCCUCUGAAGGUCACCCUGUUAUUUGCUUCUUCAACCCUAUACGAUGCACUGUUGCCGACUUACUGGAGAAAUGGGAAUAAGGAUGCACCAGUAACGAUUUGUUGAUAACAAAAGUGGGGAUUAUAUUCCAGCGCCACUUCAAUCUAACCAUAUCAGUCAUCUCUCCGCCACUACUUGGCUUUCACUGCAAAGAGACUUUCGAGCAUACAAAUUUCUUAUGCUUCUCCUUGGCUUGGCUAUGUUUCUCAACUGAUUUACCGAUCUACGUUUACAUUUUGUUAUUGAGUUGACAUGUUCUGCGAAAUGGUUAUAUUUUGGAGAUGAUUAUAGUUUAUAAUUUGGAGAUGAUUACAUGAGUAACAAUUAUUUGUUACUUUGAGAUGUACUGCUUGAAUACAUAAUACCUCUAAUUAAGCC
rnacentral:lncRNA from 1 species